ensembl:lncRNA
CCAGGGCAAUAUCAGGUGUCCCUACCAACUCACAGUCUCACUCCCCAUCUGAGACCUUCAUGGCUGUCUUCUUCUUCCUUUGCGCAUCACAAAAGACCCAGAGAACACUGUCAGAGGCAACAGUGAGCUCACCUGCAGGCAUGUAGAGCAGCAACAACCCUUCUGCAGGGCUCCAUCCUCUACAUUUGAAUGGGGCUCCUUUGUCCUCUUCACAGUUCAAACAGAAGCCUUGGAGGAUCCCUUAGAAAUCUCAUCAGGCACCAUCAGCCCUCAGCAGCCCCCUGGAAUGUUCUCAGGAAAAACGGAGAGAGAAGGUAGUUGCUGUUGGUUGUACACAGGCCAGGACUUGGGCUGGGGUGGAGUCAGUGCACAUACUAGCCCCACAAAUGUCCCCAUUUUACAGAUGAGAAAACUGAGACUCUUGAGUAAUUUCCUCGGCACCAUGGAGCUGCUGGAGGCCUGAGACCAGUCUCAAGACAUCUCUAUGAGAAAACAAAAAAAGUUUUCAGAUUUUAGAAGGCCCAGAGAAACCUCUGAUUUUCACUUGCGAGACGCUUGGCUGCGCUUGUCACACCCUAAAAGGAAAUGGAUCAUUUCUACUUAUCCUACUUACCCCUUAGUUUCAACAAGCAAGGGGUGAGGAUCCCAGCUGUGACACUUAGCAGCUGUGUGACCUCAGGCGAGCCCUGCACCUCUCUGAGCCUCUUCUGUAGCUGGGUAGGAGGAUGUGGAGACUGCCUGUGAACAGCCCUGACAACUUGCCUGGCAUGUGACAGCCGCUCUCUCUCUGGAUCGGAACCUGCGGUACUCUGCCUCCUGAGAAAUGUGGGCUGUGAUGGACGACUAGAUGGUGCCCCAACUAAGAUGAAGAACACGGCGCCGGGGGCAGCAGACACCAGGAGAAUCAAUAAACUAUAAUUAUCAAGAGCGGUGUCUGUGAGAGGUGUGGAGUCCUGUGGACAGAGAGAGACAGAGGAGGGGGCGAGAGCGAGACACACGCACAUCCUGAGAGAUGCAGAAGACGCAUGCGCCCAAGGACGCGAAAGCCAGAAGGGAGAAGCAGAAUGGGUGUGAUGUACACAGGCCCUCCACCCCUGCGCCGCACCCCGCCCCACCCCCGGCCCCAACC